rnacentral:lncRNA from 1 species
CUGCAACCUGUCCCUUCAGCACCUGGGAGUAGCCACCACACAGGCUGCGUGGCUGUUGCUUUUUUUUUUUUUUGUCCCCUGUGUCCCUUCAACUCUUUCGCCGUGUCCACUGAGUGGCAGACAGCCAGGCCCAGCGCCUUCCAGCGCCGGGAAGCAAGCGGAGCCCUGGGCAAGGCUGAGGUUGGCAGAGCUGGGCAGGGCAGGGGCAUUCCGGAGAGAGCCGGCGGGCGCGGGAGGCGGGGCGGGGUGGGGCUGCGGGUACCCUGUUGUUUCUUUCCCUUCCCUGGGCUCCACCCCGCGCAUUCUUCGGAAGGGCAGGCUGCCCGCCCUCGGCCCGGAGCGGGGGUGGGGGCCGUGGGGCGCGCCCAGGGGUCCAGGGGCCGGAGGGCCCGUGCGCCCCUCGCGACUGCACCUGCCGCGGAUGCUGCGGCGCCUCGGGAGGCGGGCGGGGCGCGGGGCGGGCGUCGGGGGCACGCGGGCGGGCGCGGGGGUGUGGGGUGUGGGUGUGGGUGUGGGGGUGCCCCCUGCCCUCGGCCCCGCCCCCCAGGCCCGGCGCGCCCCGCCCCGCCCUGCGCCGGAGGGCCCCGGGGGCGGGACCCGCGGGGAGGCGCGCGGACCGGCCGGGCCAGGUGCAGCGCCCGCGUGGCUGGGGGCCCCGGCGGCCCCGGAGGACUGUCCCGGCCGCGGGCGACCCCCGGAGCCCAGGUAACCGAGCGCGGGACUCCCGGGGGCCGCCGUCGGGGAGCGGGCGCCGGGGCCCGGGGCGCGCAGGAGCGCAGGUGCGCAGACGGGGCGGCGCGCGGGGGCCGCGGACUCCGGGGAUGCGCGUCUCGCCCUCCCGCAGGCCCUGCGCGGAGACCCGCGAUGGGGACCUUGACCUUCGCGCCCCCGGGGCGGCCCGAGGAGACGGGGGACCCGCGGCGCCGGGAGGGGUGCGCGUGCCGGGGCGGCCUCCGCGCGCGGGGCGGGUCUCCCGGGUGCUGGCGUGGGUGCCCAGCCGCGGGGACACCCCGGCACGUCCGCCCGCCCCCCGCGGGGGCUCCCCUCGAGGCCCCCGAGCCGCAGGCAGAGGAGCGCGGGAGGGACGGCGGGCCUGGACCCCCCUGGACCCCCAGAGCCCCGCAGCCCCCGCCCCGCGGCCAGGGUGAGCCGAGCGCGCAGCCCGCAGCCUUGGUUGCCGGGAGGGCCCUGCUCCGCGCGCGCCUGGGGGCGAAGGAUGCCCCCGCCCAGGGGACGCCUCCCUGA